GAUGAACGCUAGCGGCAGGCCUAAUACAUGCAAGUCGAACGGUGUCUUCGGACAUAGUGGCGCACGGGUGCGUAACACGUAUGCAACCUACCUUACAUUGGGGGAUAGCCUUUCGAAAGGGAGAUUAAUACCGCAUAAGACAGUAGCUGGGCAUCCAGCAGCUGUUAAAGAUUUAUCGAUGUAAGCUGGGCAUGCGUCCAAUUAGCUAGUUGGUGAGGUAACGGCUAACCAAGGCAAUGAUUGGUAGGGGAACUGAGAGGUCAAUCCCCCACACUGGCACUGAGAUACGGGCCAGAAUCCUACGGGAGGCAGCAGUAGGGAAUAUUGGGAAAUGGACGCAAGUCUGACCCAGCCAUGCCGCGUGCAGGAUGAAGGCGUUAUGCGUUGUAAACUGCUUUUAUACAGGAAGGAACGACUCUUGCGAGGGGCAUUGACGGUACUGUAUGAAUAAGCACCGGCUAACUCCGUGCCAGCCGCCGCUGUAACAC
rnacentral:rRNA from 1 species